rnacentral:miRNA from 14 species
UCCUUAUCAUUCCCGCGUCCAGC